UGGCUCUUUCCAUGAUCCUCAGC
rnacentral:piRNA from 1 species